rnacentral:rRNA from 1 species
GUCAAUGACCAUACCACCCUGAAUAUGCCCAAUCCCGUCUGAUCUCGGAAGCUCAGCACAGUUGGGCCUGGUUAAUACUUGGAUGGGAGAAAAUGGACAUGGAGU